UACGGAGGGUGCAAGCGUUAUCCGGAUUCACUGGGUUAAAGGUGCGUAGGAGGCAGGUAGGUCAGUGGUGAAAUCUUCGAGCUUAACUCGGAAACUGCCGUUGAUACUAUCUGUCUUGAAUACCGUGGAGGUGAGCGGAAUAUGUCAUGUAGCGGUGAAAUGCUUAGAUAUGACAUAGAACACCGAUAGCGGAGGCAGCUUACUAAGCGAUCAUUGACACUGGAGGCACGAAAGCGUGGGGAGCAAACAGG
rnacentral:rRNA from 1 species